CAAAUCGAGUAGGACCACCCGCUGAACUUAAGCAUAUCAAUAA
rnacentral:rRNA from 1 species